UACGUAGGGGGCAAGCGUUGUCCGGAAUCAUUGGGCGUAAAGCGCGUGUAGGCGGCUCGAUAAGUCUGCUGUGAAAGUCCAGGGCUCAACCCUGGGAUGCGGGUGGAUACUGCAGGGCUAGAGUCCGGAAGAGGCGAGUGGAAUUCCUGGUGUAGCGGUGAAAUGCGCAGAUAUCAGGAGGAACACCGAUGGCGAAGGCAGCUCGCUGGGACGGUACUGACGCUGAGCGCGAAAGCGUGGGGAGCAAACAGG
rnacentral:rRNA from 1 species